CGGACGGGUGGGUAAUGUCUGGGAAACUGCCUGAUGGAGGGGGAUAACUACUGGAAACGGUAGCUAAUACCGCAUAACGUCGCAAGACCAAAGAGGGGGACCUUAGGGCCUCUUGCCAUCGGAUGUGCCCAGAUGGGAUUAGCUAGUAGGUGGGGUAACGGCUCACCUAGGCGACGAUCCCUAGCUGGUCUGAGAGGAUGACCAGCCACACUGGAACUGAGACACGGUCCAG
rnacentral:rRNA from 1 species